rnacentral:rRNA from 1 species
GAUGAACGCUGGUGGCGUGCCUAAUACAUGCAAGUCGAGCGAACAGACGAGGAGCUUGCUCCUCUGACGUUAGCGGCGGACGGGUGAGUAACACGUGGAUAACCUACCUAUAAGACUGGGAUAACUUCGGGAAACCGGAGCUAAUACCGGAUAAUAUAUUGAACCGCAUGGUUCAAUAGUGAAAGACGGUUUUGCUGUCACUUAUAGAUGGAUCCGCGCCGCAUUAGCUAGUUGGUAAGGUAACGGCUUACCAAGGCAACGAUGCGUAGCCGACCUGAGAGGGUGAUCGGACAAACUGGAACUGAGACACGGUCCAGACUCCUACGGGAGGCAGCAGUAGGGAAUCUUCCGCAAUGGGCGAAAGCCUGACGGAGCAACGCCGCGUGAGUGAUGAAGGUCUUCGGAUCGUAAAACUCUGUUAUUAGGGAAGAACAAAUGUGUAAGUAACUAUGCACGUCUUGACGGUACCUAAUCAGAAAGCCACGGCUAACUACGUG